CAGUAGCCGCGGUAAUACGAAGGGUGCAAGCGUUAAUCGGAAUUACUGGGCGUAAAGCGUGCGUAGGCGGUUUGUUAAGUCUGUUGUGAAAUCCCCGGGCUCAGCCUGGGAAUGGCAAUGGAUACUGGCAAGCUAGAGUGUGUCAGAGGAUGGUGGAAUUCCCGGUGUAGCGGUGAAAUGCGUAGAGAUCGGGAGGAACAUCAGUGGCGGAGGCGGCCAUCUGGGACAACACUGACGCUGAGGCACGAAAGCGUGGGGAGCAAACAGGAUUAGAUACCCCGGUAGUCCCUGUCUCUUAUAC
rnacentral:rRNA from 1 species